CAGAGUUCAUGCCCUUCGGGGUAGACCUCCCACCCUAUGUAUACAUUGCCUUUGUUGCUUUGGCGGACCGCCUUUUGGCCACCGGCUCCGGCUGGUGCGCGUCCGCCAGAGACCCCUCAAACCCUGUCUUACAGUGUCGUCCGAGUACUAUAUAAUAGUUA
rnacentral:misc_RNA from 1 species